AUGAGGGACCUGCCCUCACGACCCAACCCCUCCCAACAGGCCCCGCAGUCCAACAUGAGAUUUGGAGGGGACAAAGAAUUCAAACCAUAUCAGUGCAUGUGCGUGCAUCUGUGUGCAUCUCUGUAUAUGAGUCUGUGUGCACGUCUUUGCACAUCUGUGUGGUUCCGUGUCUCUGCACGUGUGCAUUUGUCAUGUGCACCUGUGUGUGUGUGCAUCUCUGCAUGUGUGCCUGUGUCUGCAUGGAUGUGUCUGUGUGCAUCUGUGUGGACCUGUGUGUCUGUGUGCAUCUGCGUGGACCUGUGUCUGUGUGCAUCUGCGAGGACCUGUGUGUCUGUGUGCAUCUGCGAGGACCUG
rnacentral:lncRNA from 13 species